rnacentral:rRNA from 1 species
UGGGGAAUUUUGGACAAUGGGGGAAACCCUGAUCCAGCCAUCCCGCGUGUGCGAUGAAGGCCUUCGGGUUGUAAAGCACUUUUGGCAGGAAAGAAACGUCAUGGGUUAAUACCCCGUGAAACUGACGGUACCUGCAGAAUAAGCACCGGCUAACUACGUGCCAGCAGCCGCGGUAAUACGUAGGGGGCAAGAUUUAAUCGGAAUUACUGGGCGUAAAGCGUGCGCAGGCGGUUCGGAAAGAAAGAUGUGAAAUCCCAGAGCUCACCUUUGGAACUGCAUUUUUAACUACCGGGCUAGAGUGUGUCAGAGGGAGGUGGAAUUCCGCGUGUAGCAGUGAAAUGCGUAGAUAUGCGGAGGAACACCGAUGGCUAAGGCAGCCUCCUGGGAUAACACUGACGCUCAUGAACGAAAGCGUGGGGAGCAAACAGG